rnacentral:rRNA from 1 species
CAGUUCGGACUGUAGGCUGCAACUCGCCUACACGAAGCUGGAAUCGCUAGUAAUCGCGGAUCAGCAUGCCGCGGUGAAUACGUUCCCGGGCCUUGUACACACCGCCCGUCACACCAUGAGAGUUUGUAACACCCAAAGCCGGUGGGGUAACCUUUUGGAGCCAGCCGUCUAAGGUGGGACAGAUGAUUGGGGUGAAGUCGUAACAAGGUAUC